ensembl:misc_RNA
UUGUAGGGGGAGAGAGAGAUCCAUUGGUAAUAGACUAACGCACAACUUCAAUCUUCCCUGCACCAGCCUACCAAUAUUCCUCAAGCCUGAUCUGGAGGAACCACUUUUAGGGGCAAGAUGGUAGUUCUGUCUCCAGGCUCUUUCAGUUCUUAAUUUCU